CGUGCAGGCGGAUGAGUAAGUUACUCAUGAAAGCUCUCGGCUAAACCGGGAGAGGUUGAGUAAAACUGCUGAUCUAGAGUGGAUGAGAGGUAGGUAGAAUUCCUUGUGUAGUGGUGAAAUGCGUAGAUAUAAGGAAGAACACCAGUGGCGAAGGCGACUUUCUGGACUGUAACUGACGCUGAGGCACGAAAGCGGUGGGGAGCGAACA
rnacentral:rRNA from 1 species